rnacentral:rRNA from 1 species
CCAAUAGCGUAUAUUAAAGUUGUUGCAGUUAAAAAGCUCGUAGUUGAAUUUCGGGGUUAGUAGGUUGGUCAUGCCUCUGGUAUGUACUGGUCUCACUGAUUCCUCCUUCCUGAUGAACCGUAAUGCCAUUCAUUUGGUGUUGCGGGGAAUUUGGACUGUUACUUUGAAAAAAUUAGAGUGUUUAAAGCAGGCUAACGCUUGAAUACAUUAGCAUGGAAUAAUGAAAUAGGACGUCCGAUCCUAUUUUGUUGGUUUUUAGGAUUGAUGUAAUGAUUAAUAGGGAUAGUUGGAGGCAUUAGUAUUCAAUUGUCAGAGGUGAAAUUCUUGGAUUUAUUGAAGACUAACUACUGCGAAAGCAUUUGCCAAGGAUGUUUUCAUUAAUCAAGAACGAAAGUUAGAGGAUCGAAGACGAUCAGAUACCGUCGUAGUCUUAGCCAUAAACUAUGCCGACUAGGGAUCGGAUGAUGCUUAUUUUUAAUGACUCAUUCGGCACCUUACG